rnacentral:misc_RNA from 1 species
AAAAAAUCCAAUUCCAUCAAUUACAUUUGAAAGUUUAAAUGUGAAAAUUUGACUAUUGUUUUUCCUUACAUUCUACUGAUAUUAAAAAGGGAUAGAAACCAUAAAAAUUCCUCAAUUUAUUCUUUGUAGUUUUUUUAUUUUAAUUUUUAAUUCCAUUGAUGAUGGGAGAUUUUCAGAACUACUAUUUAUUUGGAAAUUCAAGAGAGGGAGUCCAUUACAUUAGGCAUUUCAUUGUUUUCUUUAUCAUAUGAAUAAUCGUUCCACUUCUAUAUAUAAUCAUUGCUAAAUCUUUUAAUUGUGGGAUCUCCCGCCCAAAAUGACUCUUUGUUCUACCAAUUCUUUAGACCUUUAAGCACAUGCAUGUAAAAAUUGUCCCUUAGUAGUUUACUGGAUUAUAUACUACUAUUUCCUCCCCUCCCCUUUUUCUGUUAAUUUCACUUUCUUCCAGAGUAUAUUGACCUAUCUCAAAAUUUGAUGGACCAUUGGCAGCAAUAAAGGCUGUGGAAGUAGGU